UACGUAGGGGGCUAGCGUUGUCCGGAUUUAUUGGGCGUAAAGAGCGUGUAGGCGGCCAGGUAGGUCUGCUGUGAAAACUCGAGGCUCAACCUCGAGACGUCGGCGGAAACCAUCUGGCUAGAGUCCGGAAGAGGAGAGUGGAAUUCCUGGUGUAGCGGUGAAAUGCGCAGAUAUCAGGAAGAACACCCGUGGCGAAGGCGGCUCUCUGGGACGGUACUGACGCUGAGACGCGAAAGCGUGGGGAGCGACCAGG
rnacentral:rRNA from 1 species